rnacentral:rRNA from 1 species
GUGAGGAAUUUUCCGCAAUGGGCGAAAGCCUGACGGAGCAAUGCCGCGUGAAGGAUGAAGGCCUAUGGGUUGUAAACUUCUUUUCUUAGAGAAGAAUAUUGACGGUAUCUGAGGAAUAAGCAUCGGCUAACUCUGUGCCAGCAGCCGCGGUAAGACAGAGGAUGCAAGCGUUAUCCGGAAUGAUUGGGCGUAAAGCGUCUGUAGGUGGCUUCAAAAGUCUCCUGUCAAAGAUCAGGGCUUAACCCUGGGCCGGCAGGAGAAACUCUGAGGCUAGAGUUUGGUAGGGGCAGAGGGAAUUCCCGGUGGAGCGGUGAAAUGCGUAGAGAUCAGGAGGAACACCAAAGGCGAAAGCACUCUGCUGGGCCACAACUGACACUGAGAGACGAAAGCGAGGGGAGCAAAAGGGAUUAGAAACCCCAGUGGUCC